CCGCUCUACCGAGCUUGAUAAUUUGACAGGAUCCAAUGGACCCAAGAACUGCAUCAUGUUCCAGUGUCUGCUAUAGUAUGGUGUCUACAGCUGGAUGCCCUUUC